rnacentral:rRNA from 1 species
AUGGCCCCCAAGGCGGAGAAGAAGCCGGCUGCCGCGGAGAAGACUCCGGCGGCCGAGAAGACCACCGCGGGCAAGAAGCCCAAGGCCGAGAAGCGGCCGCCCAAGUCCAAGGAGGGCGGCGCCGACAAGAAGAAGAAGAAGGCCAAGAAGAGCGUGGAGACGUACAAGAUCUACAUCUUCAAGGUGCUGAAGCAGGUGCACCCGGACAUCGGUAUCUCCUCCAAGGCCAUGUCCAUCAUGAACUCCUUCAUCAACGACAUCUUCGAGAAGCUCGCCGGCGAGUCCGCCAAGCUCGCCCGCUACAACAAGAAGCCCACCAUCACCUCCAGGGAGAUCCAGACCUCCGUCCGCCUCGUCCUCCCGGGCGAGCUCGCCAAGCACGCCGUCUCUGAGGGCACCAAGGCCGUCACCAAGUUCACAUCCUCUUAG